rnacentral:rRNA from 1 species
CCUACGGGGGGCAGCAGUCGGGAAUUUUGCGCAAUGGGCGAAAGCCUGACGCAGCAACGCCGCGUGAGGGAUGAAGGCCUUCGGGUUGUAAACCUCUUUUCUCAGGGACGAUGAUGACGGUACCUGAGGAAUAAGCCACGGCUAACUACGUGCCAGCAGCCGCGGUAAUACGUAGGUGGCAAGCGUUGUCCGGAUUUACUGGGCGUAAAGAGCGCGCAGGCGGUCGUUCAAGUCGAGUGUGAAAGCCCCCGGCUCAACUGGGGAGGGUCACUCGAUACUG